ACGUAGGCAGCGAGCGUUGUUCGGAGUUACUGGGCGUAAAGGGUGUGUAGGCGGUUGUUUAAGUUUGGUGUGAAAUCUCCCGGCUCAACUGGGAGGGUGCGCCGAAUACUGAAUGACUUCGAGUGCGGGAGAGGAGAGUGGAAUUCCUGGUGUAGCGGUGAAAUGUGUAGAGAUCGGGAGGAACACCGGUGGCGAAGGCGGGUCUCUGGGCAUUUCCUGACGCUGAGGCGCGAAAGCGUGGGGAGCAAACGGGA
rnacentral:rRNA from 1 species